GGCGGGACAGCCUCCCCGCGCAGCCCGGUUUGGUUCCCGAGGCCGGGCGAGUGUUUCCUGUGAACAUCCAUGGAAGAGUAAAAGGAUUUGAAAGCUACAUUCUGGAGAAAUUUGUGUAGUUUCUGUUACACAGAGAAAUGCUGAAAUUUCAAGAAACUGCUAUGCCUGUCACUUUUGCCAGAUUUAAUUCGGCUUGCUCAGAUGCUUGAUUGCAAGAAGAUAUACUAUUCAGAGGAAACUUGCCAAUGGAAGCUUUGGAAGUGUGUAUCUGGUUUCUGACAGAAAAGCAAACAAGAAGAAGAAUUGUAAAUCUCUCAACAACGGGAUCAACCCAAGACUCCUCCCAGACAUCUCCCAGAGUCUUUUGACCUCUGCUUUCAUGACCGGACGUCCCAGGUAGCAGCCCCAUACUCCUCCAAGGAAGCUACCCUUGAGGUUUUUUCUUUUUUGGAGGAAGCAGUCCCCUCCAGGAUCCACCUGUGACUCCUCGCAGCAACUCCCAGAGGCUUCUGACAUCACUUUUAAGGACCUGAGAUCCAGGUAGCAGCCCCAGACUUCUCCAAGAUGAUUUUUCUCCUUUGAAGGAAGGAGUUUCCUCCGGGAUCCACCUGGGACUCCUCCCAGGCAUCUCCCAGAGUCUUUUGCCCUUUCUUAUAGGGACCUCAGAUCCCAGGUAGCAUGCCCAGACUCCUACAAGGAAGCUACCCAAGAUGAUUUUUCUCCUUUGCAGGAAGCUGUGUCCUCCAGGAUCGAGGCAAGACUCCUCCCAGGCAUCUCCUAGAGUCUUUUGAUCUCUGCUUUCGGGACCGGAGGUCCCAGCUACUUGUGCCAGACUCCUCCAAGUAACUUGCUCGAGAUAUUUUUUUUCUCAUUUAGAUAUAUCUCUUGACUCCAGGAGCCACCUUAGACUCUUCCCAGCCAUUUCCCAGAGUCUUUUGACCUCUGCUUUCACGACCGGAGAUCCCAGGUAGCAGCCCCAGGCUCCUCCAAGGAAGCUACCCUUGAGGUUUUUUCUUUUUUGGAGGAAGCAGUCCCCUCCAGGAUCCACCUGUGACUCCUCCCAGCAACUCCCAGAGGCUUUUGACCUCCCUUUUGGGGACCUGACAUCCUGGGUAGCAACCCCAGACUUCUCCAAGGAAGCUACCCAAUGUUGCAUCCCAAAGUUGGAGUGACUCAGGUUCGUGGAUUUCCUUUGUCAGAAUUAAGGUGAAACGACACCAGGGGAGUUCAAACAACAAUCAACAUGUAUUCAACCUAGCUAACCUUGCCCAAGUACAAGUGAACUUAUCAAUAUGAACCUUGCAACGUGUCAUUAACCUGCUGUUUGAAAAGAGAAGGGAGGCUGUAAAAGGAACUAGGCCUUAAGCCUUAUUGUUUCUAAGACUAUUCAUAUUAGACAUAUAACUAAUGAUUAGAAAUUGUUUUAGAUAUGAUUAAUAGAAUGCAGGUGCUUAUAAAACAAUAUGCAUAAGCUGCUUAUUUGUCCUAUGUGUCUCCCCCUCCAUGGCUGGCUUGAAACCCAGUCAAGCCGAAUCAACAGAAGAAGGAUCAUACAUCUUAGACCUAAGACAUGGGAGUAAGUGAUUAACUUUAGAACAAGAUAAAUUAAUAGAAUAGCCUGAGUGAUUUUCAGAAAUUCAAAGGUAAUCUUUGAUGUGUAAGAAGAUAAGUGAUUGUGGUGACCGAAGACCUUCUGCCUACGACCACUAACUUCAGAAGAACUGGGACAUGAGAAUUGAUGAGUUAAGAUGAUGAAUGAUAACGACAUGGGAACAGAGAUCGACUGGAAAAUUACAAAGACUUUGGACUGGGACAACAGGUGGUAAAAACGUAUGUAAGAUUGGGAAAUUUUUGGAAGGUUGCCAU